AACGAACGCUGGCGGCGUGGAUAAGACAUGCAAGUCGAACGAUCAUUAGCGGGUAGCAAUAUCUGCUAGUGGGAGUGGCGCAAGGGUGCGUAACACGUGGGCAAUCUGCCGUGAAGUUUGGGAUAACUUGCUGAAAGGCGAGCUAAUACCGGAUGUGACAACCUGGGGGCAUCUCUGGGUUGUUAAAGUUGGGGACCGCAAGGCCUGACGCUUCAUGAUGAACCCGCGGCCUAUCAGCUAGUUGGUGAGGUAACGGCUCACCAAGGCUAAGACGGGUAGCUGGUCUGAGAGGACGACCAGCCACACUGGAACUGAGACACGGUCCAGACACCUACGGGUGGCAG
rnacentral:rRNA from 1 species